rnacentral:rRNA from 1 species
AGCAACAAAUGCCCUGCUUCCAGGAAAAGCCUCUAAGCAUCAGGUAACAUCAAAUCGUACCCCAAACCGACACAGGUGGUCAGGUAGAGAAUACCAAGGCGCUUGAGAGAACUCGGGUGAAGGAACUAGGCAAAAUGGUGCCGUAACUUCGGGAGAAGGCACGCUGACACGUAGGUGAAGUGAUUUACUCAUGGAGCUGAAGUCAGUCGAAGAUACCAGCUGGCUGCAACUGUUUAUUAAAAACACAGCACUGUGCAAACACGAAAGUGGACGUAUACGGUGUGACGCCUGCCCGGUGCCGGAAGGUUAAUUGAUGGGGUCAGCGCAAGCGAAGCUCCUGAUCGAAGCCCCGGUAAACGGCGGCCGUAACUAUAACGGUCCUAAGGUAGCGAAAUUCCUUGUCGGGUAAGUUCCGACCUGCACGAAUGGCGUAAUGAUGGCCAGGCUGUCUCCACCCGAGACUCAGUGAAAUUGAACUCGCUGUGAAGAUGCAGUGUACCCGCGGCAAGACGGAAAGACCCCGUGAACCUUUACUAUAGCUUGACACUGAACAUUGAGCCUUGAUGUGUAGGAUAGGUGGGAGGCUUUGAAGCGUGGACGCCAGUCUGCGUGGAGCCGACCUUGAAAUACCACCCUUUAAUGUUUGAUGUUCUAACGUGGACCCGUAAUCCGGGUUGCGGACAGUGUCUGGUGGGUAGUUUGACUGGGGCGGUCUCCUCCUAAAGAGUAACGGAGGAGCACGAAGGUUGGCUAAUCCUGGUCGGACAUCAGGAGGUUAGUGCAAUGGCAUAAGCCAGCUUGACUGCGAGCGUGACGGCGCGAGCAGGUGCGAAAGCAGGUCAUAGUGAUCCGGUGGUUCUGAAUGGAAGGGCCAUCGCUCAACGGAUAAAAGGUACUCCGGGGAUAACAGGCUGAUACCGCCCAAGAGUUCAUAUCGACGGCGGUGUUUGGCACCUCGAUGUCGGCUCAUCACAUCCUGGGGCUGAAGUAGGUCCCAAGGGUAUGGCUGUUCGCCAUUUAAAGUGGUACGCGAGCUGGGUUUAGAACGUCGUGAGACAGUUCGGUCCCUAUCUGCCGUGGGCGCUGGAGAACUGAGGGGGGCUGCUCCUAGUACGAGAGGACCGGAGUGGACGCAUCACUGGUGUUCGGGUUGUCAUGCCAAUGGCACUGCCCGGUAGCUAAAUGCGGAAGAGAUAAGUGCUGAAAGCAUCUAAGCACGAAACUUGCCCCGAGAUGAGUUCUCCCUGAGACUUAGAGUCUCCUGAAGGAACGUUGAAGACGACGACGUUGAUAGGCCGGGUGUGUAAGCGCAGCGAUGCGUUGAGCUAACCGGUACUAAUGAACCGUGAGGCUUAACCUUACAACGCCGAAG